rnacentral:rRNA from 1 species
UACGUAGGGAGCAAGCGUUGUUCGGAAUUACUGGGCGUAAAGGGUUCGUAGGUGGCCAACUCAGUCAGACGUGAAAUCCCUCAGCUCAACUGGGGAACUGCGUCUGAUACUGGUUGGCUCGAGUGCAGGAGAGGAACGCGGAAUUCCCGGUGUAGCGGUGAAAUGCGUAGAGAUCGGGAGGAAGGCCGGUGGCGAAGGCGGCGCUCUGGAACGUACCUGACGCUGAGACACGAAAGCGUGGGGAGCAAACAGG